GCUCCAUAUCAAAGUUGUAGUGGUAAAAUAAUAAAUUCUAUAGUUUAUAUAUUAUUCAUUUAAACUGUUUAGAAUCAUAAGAUCAUUUAAUCCUUGUGCCCUACACAUGCUUAUGAUUAAUAUAGGAUCUCGUACAACUCAAGUCAUAUUUUGAGAUUUUUACAAUCUUAACUUUUAUAUACACUAAAAUAUUCUUGACAUAUUUUUUUCUACAUUUAUAGUUCAUAAUAACCAUAGCGUAGAAGUUUUAUUUUUUAUUUAUUUUGCUAUAUUUAAAGAUUUAAGUAAAUGUUUGGAAUAAAAUAGAGAAAUAUUUUCAGGACGAGUGGUGGCGUCACCGCUCCUGGAAAUGGAUUUCUAAGGUCAGGUGAUGGCUUUAUCCGCUUCUUUAAAUUGAUUUCAGAGUUAAUAUAGAAAAAUGACAUACUUCAUAGAGUCACAAGUGACUAUGUAGUGUGGUGUAGAGAAGGGUACGCGCGAGGCUUGAGGUAAAAGACUAGGAUUUUUUCUUUUUUAUUUUGUUGUUUUGAUUUUUUUCUAAAUUUUUUUAUUUUUGGAAAAUUGAUUGUAGGGCGGGUCAUACCCUAAUUCGCCUCUACAAAUCGAUUUCUAGGAGUACGUGUACCCAUUACCCAUCCCUAGAAAUAGUUGUUUGCAGGAGUGGGUACCACACCCGCUCUAGAAAUAUAUUUUUACCCGCCUCUAAAAAUUAUUUUUUAUAGUGUGACUACACACCUGUUUAUACUGAAUUGCCAAGUUCAACAAUUUGGUGGUGUUGCCAACAACUACAGAAAAACUAUUUGGAACGCAGGAAAACUAGCUAAUGUGGCAGUACAACAUGUAAAAGUGAAAUGAACCAAUCUUCCUGAAUCGACUUCUACUUGGGAAGGUCUCUAUGUUCUGCGCCACAGGUUUCCCAAUUGCCAUGCUGGGGAAGGUCUCUAUGUUCUGCGCCACAGGUUUCCCAAUUGCCAUGCUGGGGUUUCUCUAUGUUCUGCCGUCUUCAGCAGGGGGGCAUGUCACGCGGCUAGCGACAAGUGAAGAAGGCAUUUUCCUGAAAGGCGUGUUCGAAGGUGGGAAACAACUGUAGUAGCAUGUGUGGGUUUUACUCUGUAAUUUCAGAUGAGUCUGGCCUUUGGGCUGUAGCUUGUGCAUUUGGCUUAAAGCCUUGAGCCUGUAACGUGAACAUGUACC
rnacentral:lncRNA from 1 species